rnacentral:rRNA from 1 species
ACGUAGGUGACAAGCGUUGUCCGGAUUUACUGGGCGUAAAGAGCGCGCAGGCGGUCGUUCAAGUCGAGUGUGAAAGCCCCCGGCUCAACUGGGGAGGGUCAUUCGAUACUGAUCGACUCGAAGGCAGGAGAGGGUAGUGGAAUUCCUGGUGUAGCGGUGAAAUGCGCAGAUAUCAGGAAGAACACCAAUGGCGAAAGCAGCUUUCUGGGACGGUACUGACGCUGAGACGCGAAAGCGUGGGGAGCAAACAGGA